rnacentral:rRNA from 1 species
GACGAACGCUUGCGGCGUGCUUAACACAUGCAAGUCGAACGGAAAGGCCCUGCUUUUGUGGGGUGCUCGAGUGGCGAACGGGUGAGUAACACGUGAGUAACCUGCCCUUGACUUUGGGAUAACUUCAGGAAACUGGGGCUAAUACCGGAUAGGAGCUCCUGCUGCAUGGUGGGGGUUGGAAAGUUUCGGCGGUUGGGGAUGGACUCGCGGCUUAUCAGCUUGUUGGUGGGGUAGUGGCUUACCAAGGCUUUGACGGGUAGCCGGCCUGAGAGGGUGACCGGCCACAUUGGGACUGAGAUACGGCCCAGACUCCUACGGGAGGCAGCAGUGGGGAAUAUUGCACAAUGGGCGGAAGCCUGAUGCAGCAACGCCGCGUGCGGGAUGACGGCCUUCGGGUUGUAAACCGCUUUCGCCUGUGACGAAGCGUGAGUGACGGUAAUGGGUAAAGAAGCACCGGCUAACUACGUGCCAGCAGCCGCGGUGAUACGUAGGGUGCGAGCGUUGUCCGGAUUUAUUGGGCGUAAAGGGCUCGUAGGUGGUCGAUCGCGUCGGAAGUGUAAUCUUGGGGCUUAACCCUGAGCGUGCUUUCGAUACGGGUUGACUUGAGGAAGGUAGGGGAGAAUGGAAUUCCUGGUGGAGCGGUGGAAUGCGCAGAUAUCAGGAGGAACACCAGUGGCGAAGGCGGUUCUCUGGGCCUUUCCUGACGCUGAGGAGCGAAAGCGUGGGGAGCGAACAGGCUUAGAUACCCUGGUAGUCCACGCUGUAAACGGUGGGUACUAGGUGUGGGGUCCAUUCCACGGGUUCCGUGCCGUAGCUAACGCUUUAAGUACCCCGCCUGGGGAGUACGGCCGCAAGGCUAAAACUCAAAGGAAUUGACGGGGCCCCGCACAAGCGGCGGAGCAUGCGGAUUAAUUCGAUGCAACGCGUAGAACCUUACCUGGGUUUGACAUGGAUCGGGAGUGCUCAGAGAUGGGUGUGCCUCUUUUGGGGUCGGUUCACAGGUGGUGCAUGGCUGUCGUCAGCUCGUGUCGUGAGAUGUUGGGUUAAGUCCCGCAACGAGCGCAACCCUUGUUCACUGUUGCCAGCACGUUAUGGUGGGGACUCAGUGGAGACCGCCGGGGUCAACUCGGAGGAAGGUGGGGAUGACGUCAAGUCAUCAUGCCCCUUAUGUCCAGGGCUUCACGCAUGCUACAAUGGCUGGUACAGAGAGUGGCGAGCCUGUGAGGGUGAGCGAAUCUCGGAAAGCCGGUCUCAGUUCGGAUUGGGGUCUGCAACUCGACCUCAUGAAGUCGGAGUCGCUAGUAAUCGCAGAUCAGCAACGCUGCGGUGAAUACGUUCCCGGGGCUUGUACACACCGCCCGUCAAGUCAUGAAAGUUGGUAACACCCGAAGCCGGUGGCCUAACCGUUGUGGGGGAGCCGUCGAAGGUGGGACUGGUGAUUAGGACUAAGUCGUA